GGGGCUGAACAGGAUUUCGACAGGAGUUGCGUCGCGUGGGUGGCAUGCCAAGUGUCUCUUGUAAAACGACACAAACAAUAACCGUAAACAAUCCUAAUUACGCUCCCAACUACGCGAUCGCAGCGUAGCCCACCGGAAACUUACGAUUCAAAUUUAUUCUAAAAACGAUUUACAAAGGGCAUGGAUACGGCCCUUUAAAAAGCGCCCGCUUUUAAAGUAAGAAAAGGGCUAUGGUCUUGCUAAGAUUUUUAGAGAGAUUGGAUCGCAAGCACCAGAAUCUCACCAAUUUCUCUAAGCAUGUAGAAGCCCGCGAAAGGAUGUGAUUUUUGGACUGGGGUUCGAUUCCCCACGGCUCCACCA
rnacentral:tmRNA from 1 species